CAGUGGAUUAUUCUUGAAGAACAAAAAUACACAAGCAGACAGACAUGUGGAUUCAACAACUUUGUCUUUACUGUCAAAGAUGGAGACAACUUUAGGCAUAAUACUGUCGUUUCAUUCACUAGUAAAUCAGCUCAUUUAGACAUUGGAAAGAUGAAAAUUGACAGUUUGCUUGAAGGCAUUCGAGUUGUGAUCGCGGAGGUUGCUUCAAAAUACUCAAGGUUACCGUUACCGUACCCGUCAACACUGCGGUUUCUCACACACGACAGCAAAGGAAGAACUAUAUGUUUCAUUUUGGGAUAUCUCACUGAUUCGAUCCUUUCUAUCAAUGAACAACCGCUCCACCCCUGGCAGAGACAUACAAACAGAAUGGAAGAACCC